rnacentral:tRNA from 1 species
GCCCGGUUAGCUCAAUCGGUAGAGCGUGAGACUCUUACUAUACACAAAUCUCAAGGUUGCGGGUUCGACCCCCGCAUCGGGCU